rnacentral:lncRNA from 1 species
UCAAACUAACUUCUACAAGGAUGCUUUCAACUUUAGACUUGGAGGAGAAUAUGAAAACCAGAGGACUGGAUGCAUCAAGAGCUCAGAGAUCACGGAGAUCUGUGCGCAGAUGGGCCGGAGGGCAAUGUCACGAGGAACAGUCUGCUGCUUCAGAUUCAUACAGGCCAGAGUAUCAGAACUGUUCACAGCGAGCAAUGGUGAGCGUCAUGCUGGCCUUGCUGUUCCUGAUCUGAAAGCACUCCAUGGCUUCAGCAAUGCUCACUUUCACCUUCCCGGAGAUUGCAGUCUUGCCAGAGAGCCAUCCAGGCACUCAGGAGGUACAGAGGUUUGCACAGUAGUUCAAGCUGGGCUCCAGUACAGGCUCCUCCUGUC